GCUAAAGAUAAGUUUAAAAAUGUUAUUAUAGAUUUAAAUUAUUUUGUACUUUAUUUUAGUGGUUUACCCAACUCUGUAUUUUCAACAAGUUUAGAAGCCAUCGAAGCACUAACAGCAAAGGCGGCGCCGUGAAAGAUGUCAAUGACUGGUACUAAACAAUAAACGAUUAAAUAAAUGUAACGUUAAUGAUGCACACUUAAUUUAAGCUAUCUACAUUUGGGUUAGAGAGAACGAAAAAACCUAUACAGUCCAGUGCAAUGUAUUUGAACCCCAGUCCUACGCAUUGAGGUACGUAGCAUUCCCGUCUGAGCUGAGUACACUAACAAAUGAACUUAUUUAAGUUAAUCUACUGAAUUGACCUACAAAAAAAAAAAAAUCGCAAGAAGUUAAUUUGUAUGAUAAUAAAAUAUAAGAAAAAUUUUACUCUCCUUGAAUAAUACAGUUAACUCAAGAGAUAGUGUAGAUAAACUUAUAGGAAGGAGGAGGGAGGCGAGGAAGAAGACGAAGAAGAUUAACUUAUACUCCACAGUUCAACAUCAAAAGUUUGAAAUAUUUAAAAAAAUAUUCAAUAGCUAAUUAUACUUAUCAAAUUUAUAGAUAUAUACGAAGGAAAAACGAAAAAAUUAUUUUCAGAAAGUUUAAAUAAAUCAAUUUGGAUUGAAAACUAAAGUAAAAUUUAUUUAUCAAUAAUUGUUAGUUUACACGUAAUAUUUUAUAUGAUUAUAUGAAAUAC